rnacentral:rRNA from 1 species
GACGUAGGGCGCGAGCGUUGUCCGGAUUUAUUGGGCGUAAAGAGCUCGUAGGCGGCUUGUUGCGUCAGCUGUGAAAAACCCGCAGCUCAACUGUGGGCUUGCAGCUGAUACGGGCAGGCUUGAGUUCGGUAGGGGAGACUGGAAUUCCUGGUGUAGCGGUGAAAUGCGCAGAUAUCGGGAGGAACACCGGUGGCGAAGGCGGCCCCCCUGGUUGGGAUACUGACGCUGAGACGCGAAAAGCGUGGGGGAGCAAAACAGGG